rnacentral:misc_RNA from 1 species
UUGUGCCUUACGAGCGCUACACGGUGAGCUCGCCAACAAUGAAGUACGGCUCAAAUAGUUUUCCAGCGCAUUUACCUGUUUGCGGACGUGUUUUACGGAGUUGUGUUGCACGACGGUGAGCUAGAGCGUGUGCGCGCGUUACCAAUUUUGUUGUUUUUUGAGGCAGGCCCGCUUGAUGGCUAUACUCGUGCAUUCGUACAAACAUACAUUCGUACAUACACAUGUAUUUAUGUAUUGAGUACCUGUUUGUGAAGUUUACAUUAGCAGCGGCUAGACGACAACAGGUCUUGAGAGGUGUCUAACAAACAUAAAAAAUAUAUAUACAAUAGUUAUUGGGAAAAAUA